rnacentral:rRNA from 1 species
CAGUCGCCGCGGUAAUACGUAGGGUGCAAGCGUUAUCCGGAAUUAUUGGGCGUAAAGAGCUCGUAGGCGGUUUGUCGCGUCUGCUGUGAAAACUGGAGGCUCAACCUCCAGCCUGCAGUGGGUACGGGCAGACUAGAGUGCGGUAGGGGAGAUUGGAAUUCCUGGUGUAGCGGUGGAAUGCGCAGAUAUCAGGAGGAACACCGAUGGCGAAGGCAGAUCUCUGGGCCGUAACUGACGCUGAGGAGCGAAAGGGUGGGGAGCAAACAGGCUUAGAUACCCCGGUAGUCCCUGUCUCUUAUAC